CUCACAGAAAUUUUUCUCUAUUAGAGACACUUUUUAGGCAUCUCAAGCUGAUUCAGUAAAUAAAGUGUCUCAAAAAGACUCACCUUUGCGAAAUGUGUCUCUAACUGAUGCGUUUUAGCGAUUCCGUCUCAAACUGAGACGGCGCGGCGCGGAUCAGUGUCUCUGAGUGAGACACUUUUUUGAAAAGCGUCUCCCUCUGAGACGCUGCGCUACCGCGCUAGCUCCCGGCCGCCGUUUCUUCGCCGUAUUUGAAGACAUUUCUUCGUUUUCGGGACUUUGGACAUCAUGUGAAUCACGUGUUAUUGUUUUUACAAGCUGUGAAACAUGAUAGGCAACAAAACAGGAUAAAUUUGCAGCUGGAUUGUGUAGUUCUGCGCGGAGGAUUUAAAAAAAAACGAGGUGGUAAAGUAUAAUAAUAUGCCUUUUCAACUCGGACACAAUAUAUUUAUUCUUCUCGUUUAAAAUUGAAAUGAUUUAUUAGAAGGAUUUGGACCAAAUUUUACAUUUCCUCGCUGAAGUUCAGAGUCUAAAAUUUCAGCUCCCUUUCUUCCAACUAUCCGCUCCUGUUGGCCAAACUUCUUUUGUCUUUUAAAACAAAUCAGCUGGAACCAACUAUAAAGUGUUGACAUGAGACAGUCAUGAUUUAUUUCAGAUUUAAAUCUUAAAAUAUGUUGCGAUAUUUAGUUUUCUGAAGUUAAAUUCACAAAAAGGAGGAGUAUAAUUUUAUUUUUAAUUCAUUUCGCAAGAAAUAAGCUUAAAUAAUGUUCUAAAAAAUCCACACAACAGAUGCAAUCCAGUGUGGCUGUUGCCAUCACGCCGAAGAGCCUGGAGCCGGUGCGGUGUGCGUGGCUGUCUCAGCUCAUCCUGACCCGGCUGAUGGCAGUACACUUGUCGUCAAGCCGAAGAACUUCAAGCCUUUGGCGGCUCAAAGGCCUUUUCGGCACGUCAAUAUAUUUUCUCUCCCAUCACGAGUGAGUUGAACCAAGGCGUCAGUUGCGCCAACGCAGAGACGACGUCAGGUGCAUAUCCAGUGUGGCUGUUGUCAUCAUGCCGAAGAGCCUGCAGCCGGUGGUGUGCGUGGCUGUCUCAGCUCGUCCUGACCCGGCUGAUGGCAGUACACUUGUCGUCAAGCCGAAGAACUUCAAGCCUUUAGCGGCUCAAAGGCCUUUUCGGCACGUCAAUAUAUUUUCUCUCCCAUCACGAGUGAAUUUAACGUCAGUUGUGCCAGCCCAGAGUAUAGCCAAUAACAGACGAGGCGGGCUUAUAGCAACAAUGUACGCGACGUGCUGACCGAGCUGCCGAUGGGAAGGUGCAUGCGUCCGUCGACUUCUCCAACUCGUGAUGCCAAUUUCAACCUGCCAUCUGACGAGCCCCGCUCCAUUGGCCUUAUUAGCCCCGUUUGAGUGAAAAGAAAAGCCUGAGCCAGCUUUAUACGACGGCGUUCAAAGGACAAACCGACGUUCGCUCUAUCGUGCGCCACGGGUGUGCCGACGCAUCUUGUGGCGAGUUCUCGUCUUGGACUUUGUGCCCGCAAACUGCACCCUUUGGAGCUUGAAGCUGUGGGAGGACAGCGCUGGGGCGCUGAAUAGCGUGGCGCCGCCCGUGGGCGUCUUUUCGCGGGGGACCCGGUGCGGAGAGCGCGGCGCCACCGUCGGCUGCUGCGACGGUGGCGCCGCAUGCUGCUGUCCUAGCAUGCUGCUGUCCUUUCCACUUCGCGGAAACUAUAUAUUUAAUAAUUGAUUUGAUUGUUUUAGUUAUUGAUUAAAUUGUGUAGUCCUUUAAACCAAAAUAAAAAUAUUUCUCGU